CGUAGGUGGCAAGCGUUGUCCGGAUUUACUGGGCGUAAAGGGCAAGCAGGCGGACUGUUAAGUAGGAAGUGAAAGGUCGGAGCUCAACUCCAACAUUGCUUCCUAUACUGGCAGUCUUGAGUCUCGGAGAGGAAAGCGGAACGAUACGUGUAGCGGUGAAAUGCGUUGAUAUGUAUCGGAACACCAAUGGCGAAGGCAGCUUUCUGGACGAGAACUGACGCUCAUUUGCGAAAGCCGAGGUAGCGAACAGGAUU
rnacentral:rRNA from 1 species